UGCACUGACUCCUGGCUUCACACACCCUGC
rnacentral:piRNA from 1 species